GAUGAACGCUGGCGGCGUGCCUAAUACAUGCAAGUCGAGCGAACAGAUGAGGAGCUUGCUCCUCUGACGUUAGCGGCGGACGGGUGAGUAACACGUGGAUAACCUACCUAUAAGACUGGGAUAACUUCGGGAAACCGGAGCUAAUACCGGAUCAUAUAUUGAACCUCAUGGUUCAAUAGUGAAAGACGGUUUUGCUGUCACUUAUAGAUGGAUCCGCGCCGCAUUAGCUAGUUGGUAAGGUAACGGCUUACCAAGGCAACGAUGCGUAGCCGACCUGAGAGGGUGAUCGGCCACACUGGAACUGAGACACGGUCCAGACUCCUACGGGAGGCAGCAGUAGGGAAUCUUCCGCAAUGGGCGAAAGCCUGACGGAGCAACGCCGCGUGAGUGAUGAAGGUCUUCGGAUCGUAAAACUCUGUUAUUAGGGAAGAACAAAUGUGUAAGUAACUAUGCACGUCUUGACGGUACCUAAUCAGAAAGCCACGGCUAACUACGUG
rnacentral:rRNA from 1 species